rnacentral:tRNA from 1 species
AGCAUCAGUUGGUAGAGCAUGGUGUUUGCAACACCAAGGUUGUGGGUUCGAUUCCCAC